GAUGAACGCUGGCGGCGUGCCUAAUACAUGCAAGUCGAGCGAACAGAUAAGGAGCUUGCUCCUUUGACGUUAGCGGCGGACGGGUGAGUAACACGUGGGUAACCUACCUAUAAGACUGGAAUAACUCCGGGAAACCGGGGCUAAUGCCGGAUAACAUUUAGAACCGCAUGGUUCUAAAGUGAAAGAUGGUUUUGCUAUCACUUAUAGAUGGACCCGCGCCGUAUUAGCUAGUUGGUAAGGUAACGGCUUACCAAGGCAACGAUACGUAGCCGACCUGAGAGGGUGAUCGGCCACACUGGAACUGAGACACGGUCCAGACUCCUACGGGAGGCAGCAGUAGGGAAUCUUCCGCAAUGGGCGAAAGCCUGACGGAGCAACGCCGCGUGAGUGAUGAAGGUCUUCGGAUCGUAAAACUCUGUUAUUAGGGAAGAACAAAUGUGUAAGUAACUGUGCACGUCUUGACGGUACAUAAUCAGAAAGACACGGAUAACUACGUG
rnacentral:rRNA from 1 species